UCAAAAAUACUUUGAGCACAGAAGAUAGAAAAUGCUGCUGAACCAGUCAGAGUUCGUGUUAAAUGGAUAAAGGAUGCAAAAUAAAUAGUAAACAAUAAAAUAAGUAUAAAUGGGACUUUUAGAGACAUUGAGCUCAGAUGUGAAGGACUUUACAAUAACUAUCCUUUAAUGGAAUAAGGAAAACAUCAGACAUCCCGAACCAUAGUGGAAUGCUGUUGUAAAGGAUUGUAUUGAUCCGUGCAUCAAUACCUUCACCCAGCUUUGAGGCCUCCAAUGAAUGAACAUCAUCUUGUGGCUGGGAAAAAUGUGAACAAAUACAUCUCACAAUGAGUGACUUUCUGGUGUAAUCAUUAUAAUAUCAAAGACAAGCACUUUAAGUAACAAUAUAUCAAAUCAUUCAGCAGCAGAGGAUGGGGUGGAAACAGUAUUUCUAACUAAGAGGAUUACAAUAUUACAAGUUAAACAUCAAGAUGAACAUACUAUUAUUAAUUUAAAAAGUACAUGGGAGACUUAAAUAUCCUGCAAUAUACCAUUAGCAGAAUAGGAACAAAUGUGCCAAAACAUUUCUAAAAUAAACAAACAAACUGAGGGCUUUCUUCCUGAGCCGCUGGGAGUAAAGGUCCUCCAUGGAUGGCAGCUCCGCCCUGGUGAUGUUCUGUGCAGUUUUCACCACCCUUUGGAAAGCCUUACGAAUGAGGGCGGUGCAGCUGCCGUACCAGGCUGUGAAGCAGCUGUGUCCGUGAUGGACACUGAGGAACCUGAAGCUGCUGACUCUCUCUACCAUAGUCCCAUUGAUGGCGAUGGGGGGCGUGUCCCUCUCUUUGCUGCUUCCUGCAAUCCACAAUCAGCUCCUUGGUUUUGCUGACGUUGAGAUGGAGGUUGUUAUCCUGGCACCAAGAUGUCAGGUUUUCGACCUCCUCUCUGUACGCCGUCUCGUCGUCUGGGUGAGGCUGGGGAAGAUGAGUGAGGGAAAGAGAGAAACAAAACAGGGGGACUAAUAUGAGUGAAGGAAAGAGAGAAAAAGACAAGGGAACUGUGACGGAGCGGGUCACAGAGUGACUGACUCCGCCACUGACAGCCGACACACCAAACAUUUCCUGCUCUCUUCCGUCAAAUGAACCAUGCAAUUUCUUAUUUAUUUUUACUUUUGUUAAUUAUGGGGAAUGAUUGUAUUAAGAGGUGGUUAACCUGUUUUAUGUUUGGGUCGGAUUUUUAUGUUGAAAUGUGGUUUUGAGCUAAUUGUGUCACCUGUUGACGGUAAGCCUGUGGGAGGGGCUAUGGGCUCAUAAGGGACGGGGUUUUUUGGACUGUGGCACUCUGAAGAAUGUUGCAGUGAAGGCAACAGCUGGGACGUGUUCGGGGGUUUGUUGCAGAGAAGGCAACAGCCAGAACACGUUUACUCUGAAUGAGUGAUGGACGGCCUUUUUUUGUUUUUUUAUUUUGUUUGUUUAAGGUAUGCUGGUUCGUAUAUUUUUUGUUGCUGUUAAGAAUAAAGUUUUUUGGAGCGUAACCCAACCGACUAGGCCAGUGUUUGUGAACGGACAAAUAGAGCCCCGUCACAUAUGGUGUCAGAAGUGGGAUGGCUAGUCGGAGGAAGCUGGGCGGCGUUGCGGAGCGGCGAACGGGACUACGAUCCCGGCGUCAGCAGCAGGAGGAGAGCGCGGCUGCCGGGUCGGAGCGGGCAUGGGAGACGGAGGACGAGGAUGAGGACGGGUCCUGGGUGGGCCCAGCGGCUCCUGCGGCCUCGGGGUCGGCCAGUGGACCAGGGCGAGAGGGGUUCCUGUUGGCGGAGCUUCGGGACCUACGGACUUCUGUUUCGGUUGGUGAUCCGUAUCUUCGGUCGGACUCCGAUGGCCGGCCUGAUCAGCCGGCGCAUGGGUGGAGGCACUGUGCGGUGCGGAGAUUCCACAGUGCCAGUGCGGUGAGGACAUGCAAACUGUUUGUUGCGGUUUGGGACGCAUUGCCAAAGCGUGGAGGUGGCUGUUUGUCUUUUCAGGUUGCCGCACAUCGCCAACCUUGGGGAGGGAGAGGAUAAUGUGACGGAGCGGGUCACAGAGUGACUGACUCCGCCACUGACAGCCGACACACCAAACAUUUCCUGCUCUCUUCCGUCAAAUGAACCAUGCAAUUUCUUAUUUAUUUUUACUUUUGUUAAUUAUGGGGAAUGAUUGUAUUAAGAGGUGGUUAACCUGUUUUAUGUUUGGGUCGGAUUUUUAUGUUGAAAUGUGGUUUUGAGCUAAUUGUGUCACCUGUUGACGGUAAGCCUGUGGGAGGGGCUAUGGGCUCAUAAGGGACGGGGUUUUUUGGACUGUGGCACUCUGAAGAAUGUUGCAGUGAAGGCAACAGCUGGGACGUGUUCGGGGGUUUGUUGCAGAGAAGGCAACAGCCAGAACACGUUUACUCUGAAUGAGUGAUGGACGGCCUGUUUUUGUUUUUUUAUUUUGUUUGUUUAGGGUAUGCUGGUUCGUAUAUUUUUUGUUUCUGUUAAGAAUAAAGUUUUUUGGAGCGUAA